UGACCGGUAGCUCAGUCGGGGAGAGCGGCUGCCUUACAAGCAGCGGGUCGCAGGUUCGAGUCCUGUCCGGUCAACCG
rnacentral:tRNA from 1 species